rnacentral:rRNA from 1 species
UGCAAGUCGAGCGGAUGACGGGAGCUUGCUCCUUGAUUCAGCGGCGGACGGGUGAGUAAUGCCUAGGAAUCUGCCUGGUAGUGGGGGACAACGUUUCGAAAGGAACGCUAAUACCGCAUACGUCCUACGGGAGAAAGCAGGGGACCUUCGGGCCUUGCGCUAUCAGAUGAGCCUAGGUCGGAUUAGCUAGUUGGUGAGGUAAUGGCUCACCAAGGCGACGAUCCGUAACUGGUCUGAGAGGAUGAUCAGUCACACUGGAACUGAGACACGGUCCAGACUCCUACGGGAGGCAGCAGUGGGGAAUAUUGGACAAUGGGCGAAAGCCUGAUCCAGCCAUGCCGCGUGUGUGAAGAAGGUCUUCGGAUUGUAAAGCACUUUAAGUUGGGAGGAAGGGCAUUAACCUAAUACGUUAGUGUUUUGACGUUACCGACAGAAUAAGCACCGGCUAACUCUGUGCCAGCAGCCGCGGUAAUACAGAGGGUGCAAGCGUUAAUCGGAAUUACUGGGCGUAAAGCGCGCGUAGGUGGUUUGUUAAGUUGGAUGUGAAAGCCCCGGGCUCAACCUGGGAACUGCAUCCAAAACUGGCAAGCUAGAGUACAGUAGAGGGUGGUGGAAUUUCCUGUGUAGCGGUGAAAUGCGUAGAUAUAGGAAGGAACACCAGUGGCGAAGGCGACCACCUGGACUGAUACUGACACUGAGGUGCGAAAGCGUGGGGAGCAAACACGAUUAGAUACCCUGGUAGUCCACGCCGUAAACGAUGUCAACUAGCCGUUGGAAUCCUUGAGAUUUUAGUGGGCGCAGCUCACGCAUUAAGUUUGAUCCCGCCCUGGGCGGAGUUACGGUCACGCCAAGGUUUUAAAAACCUC